rfam:Ornithorhynchus anatinus chromosome 2, whole genome shotgun sequence.
UAAUUGGAUUUUUUAAAAUCCACAAUCAUGUGCUAAUAAAAUAAUU